GGAAUCGUAUCCAGAAGAGGAGGUAGGGGAAAGAAGUUCAAAGGCUAUUGAUUCUUACCUUAAAGAGAGAAGAGCCAUGAUUCAAAAGCACCACAUUAAGACAGACUCCCUGACUGUGAGAUCCCAGGCACCUCACCGGCUGGCCGAGUCUCUCUCUAUUCUGAGCCUUCCCAAGCUGCUGGCCCCCGGGGAGCAUGCGCUAUCUGUUCCUCAUGUUGGGAAAUACUGGAAAAAAGACAAGAAUGAAAAAAAAAGAUCCCUCCUCAAAGCAUGUGUGAAGUGACUAGUCAGCUUGUCCUCAUUUAGAGUCAACAGAACUGGCUUCAGCACAUCUGAGACCAAGCUCCUACUACUGUAGGCAACACGGACACUUUCAGUCUCCCAUGUCCCACUCAGACAACUGUCUCCUAAGACUUUGGUUUACAAACCCAACGGGUCCCGAUCUGUCCUCACCUAAGCUCCUGCAGCCCUGUUGAAGUCAAUGGAACUGCCCGGUUUUGAGCAGAGAGUUUAUUAUCCUCCCACUGCCGAAGCCAUUAAAUGGCUUGACAUGACUAGCGAUUUCUGAUCAGAAGAGACCCGGCGCUGGAAUGUCAGGGCUGCUGCAGCAAGCAAUCUGGCACUGCACCCACUGAAGUCAAUAACAAAUCUCCCAUUUGCUUCAUUGGCAGCCGGAUGAGCACCCCCAGAUUGAGCUGUAUUGACAGAGGGUUGGAAUCAUGAUGCUGUGCGUAACUCUGACUGGUGCUGAGUGUAUGCAGGAACACCAAAUGUACCCAUUUUUUAAAGCUCUGGAUUUCUGAAUAAUAGGGUUUUACAAUGGACCUGUGGACAGAGCUCCCAGCUCCAGUACCAUGAACACAUUGGGAUGAUAUUUACAUGAACACUUGGCCAACAUCCUCUAUGUUCCUUCUGUCCAAGAAUGGGAACAAAACUUCCUUAUUUAAUUUUGAAUUUUUCCUCCAACUUUGCAAUUCCCUUUGAUUGCGUUUCUCUGGACUAUAUUAUCUGGAACUGGCCUUGCAAAAAGCACCACAUGUACCAAAGCCAUUCUGCAGAAUUUCUAAGUGGUCUGGAAUGGACUGUUCUCCUGCAAGUAACUCACUAACAGACAUGAUUAGCAAUUAAGAAAAACAUUAUUAUCUGUCACAUGGGCUCAGAGAAAUAUUCAUGGUGAGUCUAGUGUGUAAUAGCAGUAGGAAAGAGGCCAGGAGGGCUAAGAAAAUAUCAGUAAGCCAAUGUCAAGGAGGUUAUCAAGGGCAAAGAGGUGAUGGUGGUAAAGGAAGCCAACAAUAUGAUCCAUGAAAGAUGGCAAUGAACAGCAGUGCAAGCCAACAGUGUAUGCACUGCAUAGCACUUACAGCAAUAUGUAAUUUAUCAUUAGAUAUAGGUAAAAGUUCUCUUUAAAGACCUAUACAGUCUUUGAUAUUGUUAAGAAAAAGCCAGAAGAAAGACGUUUUGGGGAGGAAAAAAUGGAUGUAAUGAAACAAAAUGCAUACUUCCUAGUGUGAUGAACAACAGAAAGGAAAGCUAUUAUUCCUGUCUUUAAUUUUGCACAAAGGCUAAAAUUUGCUGUCAAAAUCAUAGCAGCAAAUUAAGUGUUUUGAUAUUUCCCAGGGUGUAAUGUUUGAAGAGUCUUUAAUGUGAUGACACAACCGCAGGCAAUAGGAAGUCAUUACUGCUGCCAGCGUUGGCUUUUUCGCUAGGGGAGAACUACCGUCUCACCACAGCUAUUCACAUGCAAUGGGAUCUCAACUUUCUUGAGCCAGAAGAAGCCACACAGUGGGAAAACCCUACUUGCCUGUUAUCAUGGCAUCACUUACAAAGUAGAGAUGUCCAUCCUUCUGCCAAUGUAGGAUUGUUUCCUACAAUACAUUUGCUAGUGCUUUGUUAUCCUUAAGCUCAGCCAGGCACUCUGUAGCCUGACAUUAUAAACAGGGGGCCCACGGAGGGAACUCAUUUUGCUUAUAGAAUCACAGAAUCAUAGAAAUGUAGGGCUCAAAGGGACCUCAAUAGGUCAUCUCGUCCAGCCACCUGUGCUGCAGCAGGGCCAAGUAAACUUAAACCAUCCCUUAUAGGUCUUGUCUAACUUGUCUUAAAAACCUCCAAUGACGGAGAUUUUACAACCUUCUUUGGAAGCCUCUUCUAGUACUUAACUAUAAGGGUAGCACCCAAAACGGGACAGAGUACUCCUGCUGAGGACUCACCAGUACCGAGUAGAGUGGGACAAUUACCUCCCACAUCCUACCUAUGACAUGCUCAGCUGUGACUUGGGAGCACUGACCUAGACUCAUAGUCUAGCUAAAUUGUGAGUCACGUAGUUGUAUAGAAAGCAAGUAGCAUAGCUGACAGUCAGAUUGCUUAAAAUUGGUUUACAGUAAAUUUAUAAAUGAUCCAGAAAUGAUAAGGGCCUUUCCUUAAGCACCGUAUCCUGCAACUCUUAUUCCUAUGCAUAAAUUUUACUUAUAACUCAACAGACUUCAGUGGCUCUGCUAGCAGAGGAAUCCGCUUGGAGGAAGGAUGCUGGAUUGGCCCUGAUAUUCUUUAUGAUACUUUUGAUUGGUUCAGUUUUUUAUCACAGAGCUACCUACGUCUGCCACCCAUAACAUUUCCAUUGUGACUUGUCUUUGUAGCAGCAGCUGCCACUAAAAGCUAUUCUGCAAGGUAUAUCACUGCAGGGCAGAUUUUCAAUGGUAUUUAGGCAUCUAAAGAGGCAGAUGGGUGCUUGGUGAGAUUUUCAAAAGCGAGAGUUAGGUGCUUAAUCUCCAUAGGCCCUUCUGAGAAUCCCACUAGGCACCAGCUGCAUCUUUAGGCACCUUGCUAUCUUUGAAAAUUUGGCCCCUUGUUUCUCUGCCUAAAGGACAAUGGGACUAUAUAUACAAAAGACGCCUCCUAUUUUCCAUGAGGUGCAAUAGCUAAGUUACUUAUACUGGGGCAGGGUGUAUAGAUGUACUGUAUAGCUGGAAGCACUGAUAUGCCGUCAGAAUUGCUGAAGGCGAGGAUACCUGCUAAGGGUUAUACAAGUAACAGCUAAGGGUGAUUCUUACUCACAUGUAAUGAGUAAGGCUACAAUUAUGUCACAGAGGUCACGGAAUCUGUGACUUCCAUUGACCUCCGUGACAUUGUCUGCCCUGGACUGGAGCUCCCAGCCAGCCCUUGCCCCGUUGUCCCGCAGCUCCGAGCCCCCGCACACAUGGGGACACCCUGAAGCUGUCCAGCCUGAGGCAGCAGGGACUCCCCACAGCUGCCCAGCCAUGGCAGGCAGCUGGCAGACCCUGCACUGCCCAGCCAUGAUAAGCGGAUGGGGGACCCUGCAGCUCCCAGCCAUGGCGGGUGGUGGGGGGCCCCACAGCAGCUCAGCCCCAUGGGCAGGAAGACCACACAGCUCCCACUCCCCACAGCGGUGGGGGACCCCGGAGCUCCCACUGACCGCAUCAGUGGGGGACCUGUGAGUCCUAACAGCAGUUGGUGCUGAACCUGCCUCCCCUUUUUGUCAGGGAUAUUUUUAGUGAAAGUCAGGGACAGGUCAUGGGCUUCCGUGAAUUUUUGUUUCGUGCCUGUGACCUGCCCAUGACUUUAAUAAAAAUAUUUGUGACAAAAACUUAGCUUAGUAA
rnacentral:lncRNA from 1 species